rnacentral:sRNA from 1 species
AGACAAGAUUGUUUCAUAUCCGGGGAAAUCAUAACCUAUGACUAGGACGGGAAGAGGAAGCACUGCCUUUACUUCAGUGGGAAUCUCGGCCGCAGCCUGCAAGCCAAGUGUUCACAGUGAGAAAAGCAAGAGAAUAAGCUAACACUCCUGUCCUGAACAAGGCAGUGGCUCCUUGGUAAAGCUACUCCUUGAUCGAUCCUUUGCACCGGAUUGUUCAAAGUGGACCCCAGGGGAGAAGUCGGAGCAAAGAACUUACCACCAAGCAGUCCAAGAGGCCCAGAAGCAAACCUGGAGGUGAGACCCAAAGAAAGCUGGAACCAUGCUGACUUUGUACACUGUGAGGACACAGAGUCUGUUCCUGGAAAGCCCAGUGUCAAUGCAGAUGAGGAAGUCGGAGGUCCCCAAAUCUGCCGUGUAUGUGGGGACAAGGCCACUGGCUAUCACUUCAAUGUCAUGACAUGUGAAGGAUGCAAGGGCUUUUUCAGGAGGGCCAUGAAACGCAACGCCCGGCUGAGGUGCCCCUUCCGGAAGGGCGCCUGCGAGAUCACCCGGAAGACCCGGCGACAGUGCCAGGCCUGCCGCCUGCGCAAGUGCCUGGAGAGUGGCAUGAAGAAGGAGAGUGAGCAGUGGGCGCGCGGGCGGGCCGGCGCCGGGGUGCACGGCUCUGAGUAAGGACGUGCCGUGGGUGUGUGCAUGCUUGUGUGGAGAUGCGCGCCGAGUGUGCGCGUGAACACACGUGCACAUGUGAGCUGGUGUCCGUGUGCAACAGGCAGCCACCUGGGGGAGCGCUUGCAGUCGGCCCUCUGGGAGAUGGAGGGAGUCGGUAAUCUCUGCCCUGGGAUGUGUGCUGGGCAGCCCUGGACAGGGCGUGCCCUCUGUCUCCCCUCAGUUGCUCCUGCAUCAUUCUUUUUGUCCCCUUCAUAAUUGUUGUAAUGGUUUGAAACCACAUUUGCGGGUAGGAGUGUGAAUCUGGGGGA